GGUUAAGCGACUAAGCGUACACGGUGGAUGCCCUGGCAGUCAGAGGCGAUGAAGGACGUGCUAAUCUGCGAAAAGCGCCGGCGAGGUGAUAUGAACCUUUGACCCGGCGAUGUCCGAAUGGGGAAACCCAGUGCAAUCCGUUGCACUAUCGUUAACUGAAUACAUAGGUUAACGAGGCGAACCGGGGGAACUGAAACAUCUAAGUACCCCGAGGAAAAGAAAUCAACCGAGAUUCCCCCAGUAGCGGCGAGCGAACGGGGAGCAGCCCGGAGUCUGAAUCAGCUUGUGUGUUAGUGGAACGGUCUGGAAAGUCCGACGGUACAGGGUGAUAGUCCCGUACACGAAAGCACACUUGCUGUGAACUCGAAGAGUAGGGCGGGACACGUGGUAUCCUGUCUGAAUAUGGGGGGACCAUCCUCCAAGGCUAAAUACUCCUGACUGACCGAUAGUGAACCAGUACCGUGAGGGAAAGGCGAAAAGAACCCCGGCGAGGGGAGUGAAAAAGAACCUGAAACCGUGUACGUACAAGCAGUGGGAGCCUCUUUAUGGGGUGACUGCGUACCUUUUGUAUAAUGGGUCAGCGACUUAUAUUCUGUAGCAAGGUUAACCGUAUAGGGGAGCCGAAGGGAAACCGAGUCUUAACUGGGCGUUAAGUUGCAGGGUAUAGACCCGAAACCCGGUGAUCUAGCCAUGGGCAGGUUGAAGGUUGGGUAACACUAACUGGAGGACCGAACCGACUAAUGUUGAAAAAUUAGCGGAUGACCUGUGGCUGGGGGUGAAAGGCCAAUCAAACCGGGAGAUAGCUGGUUCUCCCCGAAAGCUAUUUAGGUAGCGCCUCGUGAACUCAUCUUCGGGGGUAGAGCACUGUUUCGGCUAGGGGGCCAUCCCGGCUUACCAACCCGAUGCAAACUACGAAUACCGAAGAAUGUUAUCACGGGAGACACACGGCGGGUGCUAACGUCCGUCGUGAAGAGGGAAACAACCCAGACCGCCAGCUAAGGUCCCAAAGUCAUGGUUAAGUGGGAAACGAUGUGGGAAGGCACAGACAGCCAGGAUGUUGGCUUAGAAGCAGCCAUCAUUUAAAGAAAGCGUAAUAGCUCACUGGUCGAGUCGGCCUGCGCGGAAGAUGUAACGGGGCUAAACCAUGCACCGAAGCUGCGGCAGCGACACUAUGUGUUGUUGGGUAGGGGAGCGUUCUGUAAGCCGUUGAAGGUGUGCUGUGAGGCAUGCUGGAGGUAUCAGAAGUGCGAAUGCUGACAUAAGUAACGAUAAAGCGGGUGAAAAGCCCGCUCGCCGGAAGACCAAGGGUUCCUGUCCAACGUUAAUCGGGGCAGGGUGAGUCGACCCCUAAGGCGAGGCCGAAAGGCGUAGUCGAUGGGAAACAGGUUAAUAUUCCUGUACUUGGUGUUACUGCGAAGGGGGGACGGAGAAGGCUAUGUCAGCCGGGCGACGGUUGUCCCGGUUUAAGCAUGUAGGCGGAGGUUCCAGGUAAAUCCGGUACCUUUUAACGCUGAGGUGUGAUGACGAGGCACUACGGUGCUGAAGUGAUAAAUGCCCUGCUUCCAGGAAAAGCCUCUAAGCAUCAGGUAACACGAAAUCGUACCCCAAACCGACACAGGUGGUCAGGUAGAGAAUACCAAGGCGCUUGAGAGAACUCGGGUGAAGGAACUAGGCAAAAUGGUGCCGUAACUUCGGGAGAAGGCACGCUGAUGUGUAGGUGAAGCCCCUGCGGGUGGAGCUGAAAUCAGUCGAAGAUACCAGCUGGCUGCAACUGUUUAUUAAAAACACAGCACUGUGCAAACACGAAAGUGGACGUAUACGGUGUGACGCCUGCCCGGUGCCGGAAGGUUAAUUGAUGGGGUUAGCGGCAACGCGAAGCUCUUGAUCGAAGCCCCGGUAAACGGCGGCCGUAACUAUAACGGUCCUAAGGUAGCGAAAUUCCUUGUCGGGUAAGUUCCGACCUGCACGAAUGGCGUAAUGAUGGCCAGGCUGUCUCCACCCGAGACUCAGUGAAAUUGAACUCGCUGUGAAGAUGCAGUGUACCCGCGGCAAGACGGAAAGACCCCGUGAACCUUUACUAUAGCUUGACACUGAACACUGGUCCUUGAUGUGUAGGAUAGGUGGGAGGCUUUGAAGCGUGGACGCCAGUCUGCGUGGAGCCAACCUUGAAAUACCACCCUUUAAUGGCUGGUGUUCUAACGUAGACCCGUAAUCCGGGUUGCGGACAGUGUCUGGUGGGUAGUUUGACUGGGGCGGUCUCCUCCCAAAGAGUAACGGAGGAGCACGAAGGUUGGCUAAUCCUGGUCGGACAUCAGGAGGUUAGUGCAAUGGCAUAAGCCAGCUUGACUGCGAGCGUGACGGCGCGAGCAGGUGCGAAAGCAGGUCAUAGUGAUCCGGUGGUUCUGAAUGGAAGGGCCAUCGCUCAACGGAUAAAAGGUACUCCGGGGAUAACAGGCUGAUACCGCCCAAGAGUUCAUAUCGACGGCGGUGUUUGGCACCUCGAUGUCGGCUCAUCACAUCCUGGGGCUGAAGUAGGUCCCAAGGGUAUGGCUGUUCGCCAUUUAAAGUGGUACGCGAGCUGGGUUUAGAACGUCGUGAGACAGUUCGGUCCCUAUCUGCCGUGGGCGCUGGAGAAUUGAGGGGGGCUGCUCCUAGUACGAGAGGACCGGAGUGGACGCAUCACUGGUGUUCGGGUUGUCAUGCCAAUGGCACUGCCCGGUAGCUAAAUGCGGAAGAGAUAAGUGCUGAAAGCAUCUAAGCACGAAACUUGCCCCGAGAUGAGUUCUCCCUGAGACCUUGAGUCUCCUGAAGGAACGUUGAAGACGACGACGUUGAUAGGUCGGGUGUGUAAGCGCAGCGAUGCGUUGAGCUAACCGAUACUAAUGAACCGUGAGGCUUAACCUU
rnacentral:rRNA from 1 species